UGGGGAAUUUUGGACAAUGGGGGAAACCCUGAUCCAGCCAUCCCGCGUGUGCGAUGAAGGCCUUCGGGUUGUAAAGCACUUUUGGCAGGAAAGAAACGUCGCGGGUUAAUACCCCGCGAAACUGACGGUACCUGCAGAAUAAGCACCGGCUAACUACGUGCCAGCAGCCGCGGUAAUACGUAGGGUGCAAGCGUUAAUCGGAAUUACUGGGCGUAAAGCGUGCGCAGGCGGUUCGGAAAGAAAGAUGUGAAAUCCCAGAGCUUAACUUUGGAACUGCAUUUUUAACUACCGGGCUAGAGUGUGUCAGAGGGAGGUGGAAUUCCGCGUGUAGCAGUGAAAUGCGUAGAUAUGCGGAGGAACACCGAUGGCGAAGGCAGCCUCCUGGGAUAACACUGACGCUCAUGCACGAAAGCGUGGGGAGCAAGCAGGAUUAGAUACCCUGGUAGUCCACGCCCUAAACGAUGUCAACUAGCUGUUGGGGCCUUCGGGCCUUGGUAGCGCAGCUAACGCGUGAAGUUGACCGCCUGGGGAGUACGGUCGCAAGAUUAAAACUCAAAGGAAUUGACGGGGGUCAUAGCUG
rnacentral:rRNA from 1 species